AUCAGAUUAUGAAGUGGUAUUUCAGGUUAUUCAAAAUGAAUGAAUGUUAACACAUAUCUUUAUGCUUGAAAUCAUUAUAUGCAGGUGUCAGGCAAUACUCUGGCAAUGAAUGGUAUAACACAUUGCAAAAAUC